GGCCGCGGUAUUCUAACCGUGCAAAGGUAGCGUAAUCACUUGUCUUUUAAAUAAAGACUAGUAUGAACGGCUAAAUGAGGACAAACCUGUCUCUUACAACCAAUCAGUGAAACUGAUCUCCCAGUUAAAAAGCUGGGAUAAUAACAUAAGACGAGAAGACCCUGUGGAGCUUCAAACCACCCAUUAACAAGCAAGUAUAUUGCACCUAAUGUACCGUUUUAAGUUGGGGCGACUUUGGAACAAAACAAAACUUCCAAGCACAGAGCCACACACUCCAACCAAGGCCAACAAGCCAAAGUUGUAAACACAGACCCAGUAACACUGAUCAACGAACCAAGUUACCCCAGGGAUAACAGCGCCAUCUUCUUCA
rnacentral:rRNA from 1 species